UUCCUGGUGUCUCAGUGGUAAAGAAUCUGCUUGCCAAUGCAGGGCGACACAGGUUCAAUCCCUGGCCUGGGAA
rnacentral:tRNA from 1 species